GGAUUGUGGCUCGGCGGUAGAGCGCUCACCUAGCAUGUGUGAGGCCCUGGGUUCGAUCCUCAGCACCA
rnacentral:tRNA from 1 species